UAGAAGGAUGGUUGUUUUAUAUAUUUUAAGUGUUAAAAAUAGUUUUCAUUAGAACGAAAGUCAAGUAUUUUCUUGCUUGCCUAACUCUAAAAGCACUUAACAAGUUUUACAAAAUAAUUCGGAUCCGGAGCUGCACGGAGCUCUGGGUAUUUUUAGUCUCUGAGCAAAUGUAUCAGAAAGCCAUGGGGAAUGAUAAAGAGGGGCAUGGAAGGAAAUAAGCUUGCAGCCUAGUAACGGCCAUUGUGCCUUCCAGUCACCUCUGCUGGCCACAAGCCCUCAAUGUCAGGCUUUACCUGGAGGGAGGAGUCUGCAGGUCUCUGAGCUCCAUGCUGAGGUGGGAGACACAGUGUGAUUUGAUUUGAAUUCCAUUUGCAGGAUACAUUUCUGCAAGGACACUGCUCCUCCCAGAGGAGUAGCAUUAAGAUCAGAACUUGGGUGGGUGGUAGAUGAGGGAUCAGGACAUGAGCCUCAGCAAAGGCAGCAAGAAGUCCAUAAAACUCACCUGAGAUUGAGAGGCCCGAGUAGAGACAGAGAAAAGUUAGGGUAAGAAACCAUAGCGUAGGAAUGAUGGAGAAUGUAAGGUCUGGGGCUCGGGCUCUGUCUAGUAAGGGCAGUGGGUGGUAGAAGUCCCGAAGGACAGGCAGAUGAUACUGUGGACAUAUAGCUUAGUAUAGCAGAGUCCCAGGGUCAGACAUUAGGCAUGGGAGGCCUAACAGGUCAUCAGAACUACUUAAAGAAAUUUCUCAAAAUACAUCUUCUCAGGCCCCAGCUACAAGAUUCUGAUAGUGAAGUCUGAAGAGAUUCUUGGCUUUCCUGUACCUCACUAACUGAACAAGGCCUCACAAGUGGAGUGGUCAUGAAACACAAUGAAGGCUUACCACACAGGAGCGUCAUUGAGACAUGUGCACCUGAAAAUAAAAAUGAACACUCUGUGAAGGAAAAUUAAAAAGAUGGGCACACCUCCCUCACAUUGGGACCCAACAAACCAUGGUGAUUUCUUUAAAGCCCCUUUAGGAAGAUUGUCAUGUACAGAUGGAGCCACAAAGGUCCCAAUUCUUUCCCCAGGUGUCCUGCAGGCCUUCAAGCAGACCCACCAGAGAAGGACCAUGCUCGAGCAACUCAGUGAGGACUAGAAUUGCAGAAGAGACCUGCUCGCUGCCACAUGGCAGCCUUAGCUGUCUUCUCCAGCCUUCUGUCAAGAAAGACAGGCCCAGCAUAGGAGUCUGUUGGAGACAGAGAAGUGAUCCUGGCCUGUCUGAUUACAUGUGGGAGCAGAUUUAAGAGCACCUUCAUCUGAACAAGCUGUCUCAAUCCACUUAGGGUAGCACAAGCACCCCAUGUGGCAUGCCACGAGAGCCAAUACCUGCAAGGGAUGCUGUUUGCAUGAAAUGAAAUGGUGAACACUGGAGCACACCAGCCUAGUCUGGGCACAUCUUAACAACUCUCUAAACCCUGCAUCCUCCCUAACAAAUGGACGGCGAGGGAAUAACUCUGAGGGUCAGUGGGGCCAACUAGGUGUCCAAGAUGCCAAACGAUUCAAUUUCAAAAGUCAGCCUGCUAAGGGACCUCAAUUGCGUUUGUAGAGUCUUCCUUCCGGUGAGAAUGUAGGUGUUCAUAAUUUUAGUCCUCACAGGAGCAGCAGAGCCUCAUGGCUGUGGAUCUAGAACUGGGCAGAAGGCUUCUUGGGUUCGGAUCCCAUUUCUACUUCACGUUCUUUGGACUUCGGGUCACUUGCCCUAGCCUUCCCGGCUCUCUGGUCUCUCCAGGAUGGAACUGAGAAGAAGAGCUCUUGCCACACGGCCACUGAGUCUUCGUUGCCCUUAAGAGAACGCUGGGCACAGAGGCGCUGUGUUUGUGGCUACAGCACACUGCCUGCCACAUCUUAGUUUGUGUGAUUAAAGAAUCCAGUCUGGUUUCACAGUGGAACAGAUCGAUGUGGACACCAUGAAGGCACGCGCCCAAUCUGUUCUGCCAGAGCUUUGUGACGUGAAAGCCAUUCUCCCACUUCACUCGGUCUUCCCUCCUCUCCUCUCCAGCCAAAUUCACCACCCUGGUUCUCAGAACUAUUAUCUCCUUUCUACUUGAACACUGACGCAAUUCUGGCCUCGUGUAUCGUUCGAAUCUUAGAUGGUCUUUUCAUAAAAAAAAAAAAAAAAAAAAACAGA